GGGUGAGUAACACGUGGAUAACCUACCUAUAAGACUGGGAUAACUUCGGGAAACCGGAGCUAAUACCGGAUAAUAUUUUGAACCGCAUGGUUCAAAAGUGAAAGACGGUCUUGCUGUCACUUAUAGAUGGAUCCGCGCUGCAUUAGCUAGUUGGUAAGGUAACGGCUUACCAAGGCAACGAUGCAUAGCCGACAUGAGAGGGUGAUCGGCCACACUGGAACUGAGACACGGUCCAG
rnacentral:rRNA from 1 species